GACGUAGGGCGCGAGCGUUGUCCGGAUUUAUUGGGCGUAAAGAGCUCGUAGGCGGCUUGUCGCGUCGGCUGUGAAAUCCCGUGGCUCAACUGCGGGUCUGCAGCCGAUACGGGCAGGCUAGAGUUCGGUAGGGGAGACUGGAAUUCCUGGUGUAGCGGUGAAAUGCGUAGAUAUCAGGAGGAACACCGGUGGCGAAGGCGGGUCUCUGGGCCGAUACUGACGCUGAGGAGCGAAAGCGUGGGGAGCGAACAGG
rnacentral:rRNA from 1 species